rnacentral:rRNA from 1 species
UACAGAGGGGGCAAGCGUUGUUCGGAAUUACUGGGCGUAAAGGGCGCGUAGGCGGCCUGUUAAGUCGAACGUGAAAUCCCCGGGCUCAACCCGGGAACUGCGUCCGAUACUGGCAGGCUUGAAUUCGGGAGAGGGAUGUGGAAUUCCUGGUGUAGCGGUGAAAUGCGCAGAUAUCAGGAGGAACACCAGCGGCGAAGGCGGCGCUCUGGGCUGGAACUGACGCUGAGGAGCGAAAGCGUGGGGAGCGAACAGG